rnacentral:rRNA from 1 species
UACAGAGGGGGCAAGCGUUAUUCGGAAUUAUUGGGCGUAAAGGGCGCGUAGGCGGCCAUUCACGUGACGGGUGAAAGCCCUCGGCUUAACCGAGGAACUGCCUGUCAGACUGGAUGGCUUGAGACCGGGAGAGGUGAGUGGAAUUCCCAGUGUAGCGGUGAAAUGCGUAGAUAUUGGGAGGAACACCAGUGGCGAAGGCGGCUCACUGGACCGGAACUGACGCUGAGGCGCGAAAGCGUGGGGAGCAAACAGG